CCGUGUCCCCUGUCCCCUGUCCCGUGUCCCCAUGCUCCUAUCCCGUGUCCCGUGUCCCCGCAGCCCCGGUCGCUGCCGGCAGCGGGCGGUGUCGGGCGGCGCUGCGGUGGCCGCGGCUGCGGGCUGGGCAGGAUCCCGAGCCCCGGUGCCCCGGGUGGCCCUUGUCCGAGCUCCGCCGAGCCCCAUUGAGGCUCAGCCCGCCCCGAGCCGAGGGGGGAGCCCGAGCAUCGGUGCUGCGGGCGGUCCGAGGCGCACGAUCCCCCCGGAGCUGGCACGGUUCGGCUCUGGAGCGGGGACAGCGGCUGUGGGGCUGCAGGUGCAGGAUUUUGGGGUCUGGCUGCUGCUUCGCUGCACGGAGACCUGACCCUGCUCCGCUCUGACCUCCUGAGGUGGGCACUGAGCUGGCAGGAGGUGAGCAGCCAAGCUCCCCAGUUGGAAAUGUGGUGAACAAAGUACCCCAACAGCCUCCUGCACUUGGGCUUUGCAGUGGCGAUGUGUCCAGAAGAGGCUAUGAAGAUGAUGCGAGGGCUGGAGCACCUCUGCUAUGAGGGCAGGCUGAGAGAGCUGAGGUUCAGCCGGGGGGAGUCUCCGGGGAGACCUCAGAGCAGCUUCCAGUAAUGAAAGAGGCUACACGAAAGCUGUGUGGGGGCUUUUUACAAGCACAUGGAGUGAUAGGACAAGGGGGAAUGGCUUUAAAUUGGAGGGGGAAAGAUUUAGAUUAGACAUUAGGGAGAAAUUCUUCACUGAGGAUGGUGAGGCACUGGCACAGGUUGCCCAGGAAAGUUGUGGCUGCCCCAUCCCUAGAGGUGCUCAAGGCCAAGUUGAAUGGGACUUUCAGCAACCUGACCCAGAGGGAGGUGUCUGUGCCCAUGGCAGGGGGGGUUGGAACUGCAUGAUCUUUAAGGUCCCUUCCAACCCAAACCAUUCUAUGAUUCUAUGAUGAGCUUUCAAUCUAGACACCAGCUUGCAAAAACAUGCUGCUGGUCUUAUAGGUGUAAGAAUGUGGGCUGCUUUGCCAUUCCUGCACUCAAGAGCAAAGACCAGGCUGCUUCCUGUUCAUCCUCCUCCAGCUGCGUGACAGCACUGUGUUCUCCUGAACAGCAAGUGCCAGGGAGCUCUGGGAUGAGUUAGCCCACAUAAUGCAAUUUAAAGUAGAAGUUAAAUAUGGAGGCUGGUGCCAAAAAAGCCGGAAACUUGCCCAAGGCUGUGCCAGGUCUGUGACAGGAUGCUCUGCUCUGCUCCUCUCCUCUCUCUUGGGGAAGUUCACGUGGGCUCAGAGUGAUGUGCACCCACACUCAGGUACCUUGGCUGAGUGCGUAUUGCUCUCUUCCUUCUUGCUGGAGCUGUGAACAGGCUUUUGGAGCCGAUUUUUACCUCCUGGUGUGAACAUUGCCUUUUCACAAGAGCCACAGUGAACAGAAGCUCUGGACCCUUUGAGGUGGAGCUGCUUUCAGCAAACAUCCUGCACUGGAUUUUAGCGACUGCCUAAGGAGCUGCUUUCCACUUAGUCUCAGACUGAGCCCUUAGGAACUUUGCUUUAGAACGGGCAGGCACUUGCCCUCUGCACAGCGGUGCCUGCCUCGCUGUGUCCCCACAUCACAGUGAGCUGCUCCCAAGGGCUGGCAGCUCUCCUGAGAGCAUGGUCCAACCUGCCCGUGCUGCAGUGAGCUCAGCUCCUCAGGGUGUCUGACCCAGGCAGUGGUAGGAGACCCCAUCUGUCCUACACAACAAUUAGCAUCUUUGCUACAACGAGGUGUUUUACCUGCCCACGGGAAGCUGCCACGUUGGCUUUAACCUCUAGCCCUGAACUGAAAGUCCUUGCGUAGGAGGGCUUUGUGGGUGGAUGGGAGGACAGAUGAGGUCAGCCCAUGCAUGGCCCUGAGUUACCUCUGCUCCGGAGAGGCCGCUUGUCCUUGGUGUAAGCUGGAACCCUGCUAACGUGACCAUUGAGAUUAUUUUCUUUUCGAAUACAGAAACACGUAGCAACACUUGGCCAGUGCUGGCUUUCUAACAGCGUGUGUGUUGUUCUUUGGUGGUUGCAGAGGUGGCAGGUCCAAAUGCAAGUUGCAUGGUGCAAUGGACUGUUUUGUAGGGCUGGCAGUGGAACGGAAAUGUGAAAUGGCUAAGUGGGAGCUGACUGAGAUGAAGGAUGAGAUUCAGAGGAUAAAGGAAGGCUUGGAGCAGACCUUGCAGCAUCUUGAGGAGAAGCUGCAGAAUGCCAUGGCAACAAACACGUCUCUGAUGAAAGACAUCUCCCAGAGGAAGAAGCUGCUGAAGAGAACUGAAAGAUAAACUGCUCUGGUGGAGAAGGAGCAGACUGAUGGCUUUUCCAGUUUCUGCUUUCAUCCCUGCGUACAUCCAGCUAUUCUGCCUCAUCAGUGUGAGAAUAUGAGAACUCCUCAAAUUUGCAUGUGUAACAUAUCCCUGAUCCCUGCGGGAACUGAGCUGUUCUACCACCUGCAGAGCUGCGGGAUGCCUGAAGACAUCAAUGACUGGUAGAGCUUCCAAUGACUACUGCAAUAGUUUGCACUGCAGAACAGGGUCAUACUUAAUGGCUUCUGAGAGAAAGCCGGCCAGGGCCAAAGUGUAGUGUACAGAUACGUCUACGAACAAUUCUGUAGCCUGGCACGGCCUAUUUAUAUUUGCUGAAUUGCCUCAGUGCCACUUUCCUUCAGGCAUGCUUACCUUUUCUCUGCCCCCACUCUGUUUCCUAGCCACUGUUUCCUAGGUCCUGGGAAACUAAAAAUUUUCUUCAAAGGUCAGCUAAUGGUCCCUCCUCUAACCAUUGACAUUUCUAGCUUAAUCCAAAGCUUACUUUGAACCCAGCCUAGUAGAUUGUCAGCGUGGGCAGAAGGUCAAGAACUGCAAGAACUCAAGCUACUAAUGCAGUGGCGACCUGGCCACUCAGCACUGCUGAUACAAGCAUGCUGGAGUGCUAAUCUAAUCAGCUUGUGAAGCUGGACUGUUAUUUUGCAAAGUGAUUCCUUUCACUAGGAACUCACAUCAGUAUUUAAAACCUUUUAACUAAGUCGCAACUCCAAACCUUUUUUAUUUUGGUCUAGAUGCUGGUCUCAACACAUGGCACCCAGCUUGGGUUGGGAUGUGUAGGGAAGUAGAGCGGAUCUCCAAAUCUUAGCUGCUUCAAAAAAGCUGAGUUUAUGUGACUGAGAACUCACUGCCAUGAUGAAGAUGGCCACUAUUGUGACCUACCUCACAGAAACACACCGAGAGAAGGAACACAGCCAGCAGGGUUGUAGUAAGGGCUUGUCAACCUGUUUGUUUACAGAGCACAGAAAAAUGGGAAGAAGCUUGAUAAAUUGUUCCCGGUGCAUUGUUAGUAAUAAACAUCAUGAUUAAUUGCACACAGCAAGAUAAUGUGUUUUAUACCACUCAGCCCACCAAAGCCAAAGGAGAUGCUCCAAAAGCACACACAAAUGAGUGAGGGGAGCAUCUUGUACAACAGCUCAAGUGACUUAUGGUAACAUGGUUCAUUUCUAAGACCCCGGCACUGAGUGAUGGAGCUAGGGAGGAGGCUGCUCUGAACUGCUGCCUGAAAUGAAGUCUAAGCCUUCAGACACUGCCCAGAUCUGCAUACUUUGAUACAAGGUCUGUUUUAACCCCUCCUUUGCAUCUUCUACUCUGCAUACAUCAGAAAUCUAUUCAUACAGGAGUAGAACUUUAAAAAUGGCCUUCUUAAGUCAGACUCUCUGACCACACUGAGGGCACUGAAAAUAAGCAACUUGCUUCUGGUUUUCAUGAGUGCUGAGUGCUAUCAGAUGCCAUAAAAAUAUAUAAGGCCAUUUACUUGGCUCCCAAUGUGUUGGCCUAAGGAGCCUGACUUAAUGAUUUUAUAGUUUUAUGAUUUUAUGAACUACUUUUUUUAAGCUCAGCAAAAGCUCUUAUCACCAAAAGAUUGACACAAGGGUCCUUCAAAAAUGUUUGUGAUUUUGUAGGGUGUGAGUCAUCAUCGGAGUGUCACAGUGCUGCCAGUCCUGACCUUUUCACUUAAGAGUCUUGGUAUUUACACUGCUGCCUUCUCAAGCAGUAAAACUGCAGCAAUCCUGACUUGUGUACCCACUCGACGGCUUUCACUGGGUGACAGGUGACCAUGUCUCUCUCCGAGAGGCUUUUGGGCUAAAACACAUGAUUAUUCUUUACCUUUCUGAAUAUGCAUGUGAUGAUGAACAACCUCCCAGAGGCACUGAUGGAAAGAAACCUAUUCUGGCUAUUUAUAGAUAUAAAUAAGAUCCAAUUUCCAGCUGAAAUAGUAAGCAGUGGUUUGGAAUCUGCCUUCUUCCUUGACAGCUCCUGGAGAUGCUCACAGUCUGGGUUUCCUGGACCUUCCGAAGAUUUUGGGGUGAAGGAGCAGAGCUGGUGAUGUAAAAUAUAUUCCCUGAUGGGGAAUACCAACUCCUGCCCUCUGUUUCCUGCAGUCUCCCCUCUUCGAUCCCUCCUUAUAGAAUGGACAAGAUUUAGAUUUGCUGAGGCUACAGUGCUGUUUCUGAAGAGAUUGUUCCCAGCAAUACAAACCACAUGCUUACAGAAACUUUGACGCUUUUAAAUUAACGAAGUUAUUUCAUUUCUGUCAGCACCUUGCUCUUCCUUUGAGACUAUGCUAAAAUGUAAAGCUUGCUCAUUAAUUACUUCAAAUGUCAAGGUUUAAUUACAAUGCCUCCAAAUUAAAUUUCAAGCCAGUCAGAUUUCAGAGCCAUACAGGAGACAGACAGACAUACUCAUAGCAAGUUAAUCCUUCAAAAAAGAUGAUGAUGAUGAUUAAUGUAAUUGAUUUCCUGGCAGCAGUAUUUCGUCUUUCAGACACAGAGCACAUUAACUGGAGUGUGAAGAAGCCAGUGUUGUACCUGUCUAGCCGUCUGUGGGCUGGGGUAUUCCACUUGGAUCACAACUGCAAAAGUGAGUCUGUGUUCCUGCAAGAAGAGGAGGAGUAAAAUCAACCCUCAUUGCAUAGCUCCAGUGAAAACACGCACCCAUCCUGUUGGAUGGAUGUCCGUCCCUGUGGGUGAGGUAAAGGUCCAUUGAAAAUCAAACCGCAUGGGGGCUGGUUGUCACAGCAGAGCUGAAAAUUUUCCUGUAGGCACAUUGGAUUCCUGGACACCCUCGGAGCCAGAGAUGAAGGCAACACCUGCGGUUUGUUAGAAUCAUUCUAAUGUGAAUGUCAGUGUUCCUAUAGCCAUAUCCCCUAUUUUUUCCAGAUUCAGAAUUUUGAGACCAUGACCUCAAACACAAGAUACCAGCUACAGUGU